rnacentral:piRNA from 1 species
UGACUUGCACGUGUGUGCCGUGUGUUGU